rnacentral:rRNA from 1 species
GACGAACGCUGGCGGCAUGCUUUACACAUGCAAGUCGAACGGCAGCACGGGAGCAAUCCUGGUGGCGAGUGGCGAACGGGUGAGUAAAGUAUCGGAACGUGCCCAGUCGUGGGGGAUAACGUAGCGAAAGCUACGCUAAUACCGCAUACGAUCUAUGGAUGAAAGCGGGGGAUCGCAAGACCUCGCGCGAUUGGAGCGGCCGAUAUCAGAUUAGGUAGUUGGUGAGGUAAAGGCUCACCAAGCCGACGAUCUGUAGCUGGUCUGAGAGGACGACCAGCCACACUGGGACUGAGACACGGCCCAGACUCCUACGGGAGGCAGCAGUGGGGAAUUUUGGACAAUGGGCGCAAGCCUGAUCCAGCAAUGCCGCGUGCAGGAUGAAGGCCUUCGGGUUGUAAACUGCUUUUGUACGGAGCGAAACGGCUUCCACUAAUACUGGGGGCUAAUGACGGUACCGUAAGAAUAAGCACCGGCUAACUACGUGCCAGCAGCCGCGGUAAGAC